rnacentral:rRNA from 1 species
UACGUAGGGUGCAAGCGUUUGUCCGGAUUUAUUGGGCGUAAAGAGCUCGUAGGCGGUCUGUUGCGUCGAUUGUGAAAACCCGGGGGCUCAACCCCGGGCCUGCAGUCGAUACGGGCAGACUAGAGUUCGGCAGGGGAGACGUGGAAUUCCUGGUGUAGCGGUGAAAUGCGCAGAUAUCAGGAGGAACACCGGUGGCGAAGGCGGGUCUCUGGGCCGAUACUGACGCUGAGGAGCGAAAGUGUGGGGAGCGAACAGGG